AACAACCUUAUUCAAUAAGAGCAACCUUAACUCGUGCAUGGUGAUAGAACAUACAAAUUUUCUUGCGUUACUCGUGGAACUGAGAGCAAACUCAUUUGUACUUUCACCUGAGUACGCGCGCGUACUACCAUUUGCGAGAAUUGAAGGUUUAUGCAUUCGAUCGGUGGAUGUUGUGUUCUACUGGAAAUAGUAUUUAAAUUUUGUAACUUGAGG
rnacentral:sRNA from 1 species